ACUAACAUUAUUCAUCGUGUCAUUUUUCAUGUCGGGAGUUGGAGCCUUUUUUUCUGACUGACGGCCGGAAUGCCGCCAAAAGGCUGAUAACAUCGACUGUUUGUGGUCAUGUCGUCUGCAUCGGAGGUGUAUUUGAGUCUUGUGAUUGCCAUCGUAGCGGUGCUAACAACAGGUUCAUUCAGACAGUCAACAUUUGUGGCACCAAACGCAUUGAAAGUCACAGAUCAGCUGGAAUUUUGGAAAGAGG